rnacentral:rRNA from 1 species
CCUACGGGUGGCAGCAGUGGGGAAUAUUGCACAAUGGGGGAAACCCUGAUGCAGCGACGCCGCGUGAGUGAAGAAGUAUUUCGGUAUGUAAAGCUCUAUCAGCAGGAACGAGACAAGACGGUACCUGACUAAGAAGCACCGGCUAACUACGUGCCAGCAGCCGCGGUAAUACGUAGGGGGCAAGCGUUAUCCGGAAUCACUGGGGGUAAGGGGAGCGUAGACGGGUGUGCAAGCCUGAAGUGAAAGGUUGGGGCUCAACCCCUGGACUGCUUUGGGAACUGUACGGCUGGAGUGCAGGAGAGGUAAGCGGAAUUCGUGGUGUAGCGGUGAAAUGCGUAGAUAUUAGGAGGAACACCAGUGGCGAAGGCGGCUUACUGGACUGUAACUGACGUUGAGGCUCGAAAGCGUGGGGAGCAAACAGGAUUAGAUACCCGAGUAGUC